UAUGUGUGCGCAGAAAGCAACAAUGUCCACCGUUGCAUAAUGACUAGCGGCUAAUGGGGGAAUGCCUGUGUGGGAUCCAAAAAUUUAAGUCAGGGGUCGAUGGUCUGUGAGAAGAGUAAACUUCCAUCCGAACAGGCUGCAUCUGGAGAGACAAUCUGCAGACCCUGGUCUGUGCAGUUACCAGCCAACCCCCCUGAGAACUUUCCCCUCCAGCCCCAGGGAAAAUGAAGCUUUGGUUGUACCUCGUCCUCAUUGCAGCAUCUCUGGAAGGUGCCCGGUCCCAAAUCCAGCUGGUGGAGUCCGGAGGGGAUGUGAAAAAGCCCGGAGACUCUCUCCGCCUCUCCUGCAAAGCCUCCGGGUUCACCUUCAGCAGCUAUGAGAUGAGCUGGAUCCGCCAGGCUCCCGGGAAAGGACUGGAGUGGAUCGCCUACAUUUACAGCACCAGCAUAUACUACAGUGACUCGGUAAAAGGGCGAUUCACCAUCUCCAGAGAUAACCCCAACAGCCUGUUGUACCUGCAAAUGACCGGCCUGAAGCCCGAGGACACCGCCCGGUAUUACUGUGCGAGAGACACAGUGAGGGGAAUCCCGUCAGGGCUCAUACAAAAACCCAAGUGGCAGAACCGAACUUCUCCCAUGCGCCGCAUGGGGGCAGCACUUCCACAAGCAAUCCAGCACUGGGCACAGGAACGAGAUCUACAACCAGAGCGAAAAACAAAUCAGUCCUCAGGUUUCAGAGCUCAAUAGCCAUCUAUGGAAUCAUAGAACCCUGGGACUGGAAGGGACCUCGAGAGGUCAUCUAGUCCCGUCCCCUGCACUCAUGGCAGGAUUCAGUGUUAUCUAGACCAUCCC